CCUGAAUAUAAGGCAUUGUAAUUUACACACUUUAUAAACUUUUCUGUUUAAAUAUUGUCAUUGAUUUUUGAUCAGAGGAAAUGUUCAGUUUGGGUUUCUGUAGCUCACUUCUUUUAGAAGAAAUAGGCUAUUGAAUCCCAUCUCUCUGAAAUUUUGCUUUUUCACCAAGGAAGGCAAAAAGAUGCUGCCCUGACAUAGCAGGGUGCAAAGCUCCCUUUUUUGUUUCAGGACCCUUUAAGCUGUUGCCAUCUCUUUUUUUUUUUUUUUUUUUUUUUUUUCUUUUCUGCACAGCCAUUCUUUGGGUGCUGCUUCUGUCUGGCUGGAGACCCUGCUUGCAGUUACCUGCUUCUGUGAAGGAGCUUAGCCUGGCUCUCAAAAUGAAGACUUUCAGAUUGCUGAUUCAGUUCUGCAGCACUGAUCCUUUAAUCUUUAAAUAUUCAUCUUGAACAGUUGGUGUAAAUUUGGGGGAAAAUUCAAAGGAGGCUAUUACCUGCUGUUAAAAUAAAUAUUGAAGACUUGGCUUGCA
rnacentral:lncRNA from 1 species